CGAGUCCACUACGAUGAAGAAAUAGCGAGUCACAUCGGCCCCGAGCCGUGCGCAGGCAACCGCGAGGUGGUCGGCGAAGCGUCGGUAGGGGAGCGUAUGGGCCAGCCAUUGAGCCGCGAUAGAUAUAUCCCGGGUGCCGACGCGGUUCAGUACGCGGAAGGUUACACGGCGGGGCGCGAUUUCGCGAGCGCUCCGACGACCCGGCGUGGUCUGAGAACC
rnacentral:ncRNA from 1 species